rnacentral:rRNA from 1 species
UACGUAGGGGGCAAGCGUUGUCCGGAAUCAUUGGGCGUAAAGAGCGUGUAGGCGGCCCGGUAAGUCCGCUGUGAAAGUCGGGGGCUCAACCCUCGAAUGCCGGUGGAUACUGUCGGGCUAGAGUGCGGGAGAGGCGAGUGGAAUUCCUGGUGCAGCGGUGAAAUGCGCAGAUAUCAGGAGGAACACCGAUUGCGAAGGCAGCUCGCUGGAACGUAACUGACGCUGAGACGCGAAAGCGUGGGGAGCAAACAGG